rnacentral:rRNA from 1 species
UCUAAUACCGGAUACGAGCCUCCUCCGCAUGGUGGGGGUUGGAAAGCUCCGGCGGUGCAGGAUGAGCCCGCGGCCUAUCAGCUUGUUGGUGAGGUAACGGCUCACCAAGGCGACGACGGG